GUGAUAGGAAGGUGCACACUCAGUGUGCACUUUCUGUCAGUCCGGCCGGGUACAGAAAACAGAAACUCCUGUUCCGUGCAGAGUUUCUGUUUCCUGUACCCGGCCGGAAUGACAGGAAGUGCACACUGAGUGUGCACCU
rnacentral:miRNA from 1 species